UCCCUCGGAGGGAACAGAGAGGGACAGACGCAGGAAAAUCACAGAUGAAAAGCCAAUAAAAACAAAAAUAAACUAAUCUUCUUUUUCUUCUUCUUUUUCUCUGUUUUCUGCUCGAACAUGGCGGGAUCUUCCAACACCCCUCUGUCCCGGACCUCCACCCCUCCCACCGACCCUCUCUUCCACUCCGACCCGCUCUACAGCGCUCCCAACCCGGCCAGCUCCCCGCGCCUCCCCGCAGCUCGCCCGGCCGGAGCCUUCCUGAGCGGCAGAGUCCCGGUGAGCGUGAACGGGACGAGCGGCGGCGGCUGCGGGGCUGCGGCUCCGCACACCGAGUGUAAGAUGGUGGAAGUUCACGGCGUGAAGGUGGCGUCGUUCACGGUGAACGGCGUGGAGCUGAUCUGCCUUCCGCAGGUGUUCGAGCUGUUCCUGAAGCACCUGGUGGGCGGACUGCACACCGUGUACACCAAGCUGAAGCGGCUGGACAUCAGCCCGGUGGUCUGCACCGUGGAGCAGGUGCGCGUCCUGCGGGGGCUCGGAGCCAUUCAGCCCGGAGUCAACCGCUGCAAGCUCAUCACCAGGGCCGACUUCGAGACGCUGUACCGGGACUGCACCAACGCCAGCUCUCGACCGGGUCGUCCUCCGAAGCGAACCCUGGGCGUGGCCACGGUGACCGACGGCUCCAGACUCCUCUCACACGGUCUGAUAAGCCCCGCCCUGCUGUCACAAACAGGUGUGUUGCUGCUCUCUGCAGGUCUGACGGCGGCGGCGAUGGCCGAGGCGCUGAAGCUGCAGAAGAUGAGGAUGAUGAUGGGUUUCCAUGGCAACUGUGAUCAGCAGCAACAUCACAACAACGGUGCCGAGUCUGACAACGACACGGGAGGCAGUGAAGCAUCCUGGGAGAAGGAGCGGCGCCUCCUGUCUCCUCCCCCCUCCUCCGUUGUGGCUCCUCCUCCUGGUUCGGCGUCUCUCCACCUCAACACUCUGCAGCAGCACAGCACCCUAUUGGCCAACCGUCUGUCAGAACUUCCUUUUAUGGUCAUGCCACACCCCCUCCUCCCUGUGGGCUUGCCCCCAGCCAGUGUUGCCAUGGCGAUGAACCAGAUGAGUCACCUGAGCGGUUUGGCAAACAUGGCCGCCAUGUCACAUGUUCAGAGAGAGGAAAGCAAGGAGUCUCCUCUGAGAAGCCCCUCCCCCAGUGAUGAUGAGCUCCGCCCCCAAGAACCAACCAGCCAAUCACCUUCCAGAGCAUCUUCAUCCUCGUCAUCAUCACCUCCUCCUCCAGCACGCACACCAGAGCCGGACGGCGAGUUUGCAGAGCGAGAACACAACACGAAGAAGGUGCUGAAAGAAAAAGAUGACAGCCUGUUGCCCCUCCCCCUCCUCAAACCAACCUAUGAGAAGCUGCCGCUCACCUCUCAGCCACUGUCAAUCAACCACGCAAAUCCCGCCUUCGGCCCGUUCCUGUUGGCUGAGGGUCUGUCGUCCAUGGAGACCCUGCUGACCAAUAUACAGGGUCUCCUGAAGGUGGCGGUGCAGAGCGCUCGUUCUCAUGACAAACAGAACCAGAUGGAGAGGAAAGAGUUAAAACUGGAGCUGGAGAGAGAGAGAGACGCCCGACAGACACUACAGAGACAGCUGAGCUCCGAACUGCAGAGCAGAGUGUCAAUCCAGCGGCGGCUGAAGAAGGAGAAGAAGGCGAAGAGGAAGCUGCAGGAGGCGCUGGACUUUGAGUCGAGGAGGAGAGAGCAGGUGGAGAGAGCACUCAAACACUCGGAUUCCCUCACAGAUGCAGGUCUUCCUGAGAACGAGCUGGAGAACCAGCAGGAGAACUCAGCGGCUCGAGCUAAAACAUCUUCCUGUAGUUUCACUUUGGCUCUCUCCUGUUUGACGGCGUUUCAUCGUCUGAACGGACCAAUAAAUCACCAAAUAAAUGAAUCAGAUUCAUCUAGAAAGGAAACGCGCGCUGAGUCUGCGUGUCGACUGUGAAAUUGAAUCAGGAAAAACAAUCACAAACUGCACAGCAGAACCAACACACACACACCUGUAAACACUGUGUGUGCGUUUCCUCCACGCCGACGUGAUAACAAGACUCGUUCAUCAGAGCAGCGAGGUCUUCUUCUUCUUCCUGUUUGCUUCAGAAACAAACUGAGCGACCGGAUGCAGCUGACAGGAAGUGACCUUGUGUUCUGUCGUUCUGUCUUUGGAGCAUCAAUAAUAAAUGAUAGAACCGGGUCUUCAUCAAACCUCCUCUCCUCUUCUGAGACCUCAGACUGGAUGAAGACUCAGACUCAGACUCAGACUGGACCACUAAACAACACCAGAGGAACUCAAACUCCCAUCAGCCAAUUCUGUUUCUGCUUCCUGUUUAUAAAGAUUAUUCUUGUUAUUAAAGAGAACAGCAUCAUGUCACCUUGAAGGGGGAGGAGUUUAAAUGUCACAUGACCACUUAUGAUGUCAUCAGGUGGAAUACCUGCAGGACUGUUUAUCUUCAGGGGCCCCAGGGCCCCCAGCUGGAUCUGAACCAGGGGGACAAGACUGACCUGGACUCUGCUGAAUACAGGUGUCGUAGUUCCCACCUGUAGAGGGCGGAGUCACACCUCUUUUUAUAAACGUGUAUUUAAUAUUUGUAAACUUCUGUAGAACUUUAGUCUUUGGUAGUUAGUCGCAGUACUGAUACUACUGCUGUAGUACUUAACAUGUAGUAGUGGAAAUACUGUCACAGUGCAUUUACUGGGAUUCUCACCAGAAGGAGCUCUGACCGUUAACGAGCUCUGACCCGUAACGGGCUCUGACCCGUAACGGGCUCUGACCCUUAACGAGUUCUGGCCCUUAACGAGCUCUGACCCGUAACGAGCUCUGACCCGUAACGGGCUCUGACUCUUAACAAGUUCUGGCCCUUAACGAGCUCUGACCCUUAACGAUUUCUGACCCUUAACGAGGCAGCCGUUAGUCUUCCAGCUGAUUGGUUGUCUGUUUUCUUCUUGUUGUAAAUACUGAACCGAGCAGGAACCGGGUUCUACACAGAACCUGAAGUUUUAAUCUUUGAAAAGGUCAUGAUGAGGUCACAAUGAGGUCAUGAUGAGGUCAUGAUGA